rnacentral:rRNA from 1 species
UGAAAGCAUCUAAGCGCGAAGCCAACUUCAAGAUAAGAUUUCCCACCGCAAGGGUAAGACCCCAGAAAGACUAUCUGGUUGAUAGGUCGAAGGUGUAAGUGCAGCAAUGUAUUUAGCUUAUCGAUACUAAUAGGUCGAGGACUUGACCAAUAUUUAUU